AGAUUUUCAAGGUAAACUAGUAUGUUUAGUAUGUCACAUAUGCACGUAUUUAAUAAGUCAAUAUUGACUAUAAGAAAGUGGAGAACGGGUUGCAUUGACACCGUUGAUAUGAAGGAAUUUUUUAAACUUUCAACUUCAAGAACUAGAGGCUAUAAAUUUAAGCUAAGGAAAUAAAAUAUGCUAAAAAAUAUAAGUAAGUUUGCAAAGAGUUGUAAAAGGUUGGUACAAUUUUGGUGAGGUGGUGGUGGUGGCUAUGGAGGCCAAACCCAUCAGUAGUUUCAAAUCAUCACAUGACAAUUUAUUGGGAAGAUGGGACACCAUGAGCAUAGCUCUCAUCAUGUAGCUACUACACUUAGGUAAUUACUGUACACACAUGUGCACAUACAUACUCAUAUAUAUAAAAUACACUCGCACACAAACAUGUUACAAAUGGUUAGGAGGUAAAUUCCUAUCCCCCGUAGUUACUGAAAGGUAAACACACACACACAAUUACACACAGAGCAUAUACAGUUCUUAAACAUGUUUAAGUCUCAAAUAGGCUCUGGUACACAAGUACCCGUACUUGUGAACUUUGGUUUCCUGUCCUCGUCGAGGUCACUAGGGUUAGUGGCCCUCAGGUAAAUCCGGUAAAUCAAAUUGAUUAGAGAAUGAGAAGUCAAAUCAAAGAACUGAAGUUCUUCCCCCCCAUUAGCACAAUUAGGCGAGUUCACUAGUACAAAUUUCAAGAACAUGUGUUGUUAAAAUAUGCAAAAGUAUACCAUUGCAAGCUGUGGUAGCCAGAUGUGCUAAAUAACAAUCGGCUGUGUUUGCCAGCACCUUAGAUGCUUCAACACUCAGUCUAUAUAAUAUGAUAAAUAUAAAGAAAAUGGCACACCACAAGCAUAGCUCUCUUCCAAUAAGUACAUUUCAGUAAUUACGCACACACACACACACACACACACACACACACACACACACAAUGUUCAUACAAGAAUUCCUCAAAUGUUUUUCUACUUAUUAACAUUCCUCAUAUACUGUUCAUCUAGUAAAUCAUGGAAAAUGUUUUCAAUGUUUAAUGUUGAUAUAUUUUGAAGAUUACUAUUUUGUACUUUUCAUGCCUCUAUUGGCAGAAAUCUUAUAUAAAUUGUUAAUCAUAAAGUGUAACAUUAAAAUUCUUUAUGCUUUGUCUUAAAUAUGUAGUGUAACAUAAAUAUUAUAAAGAAGUUUAUACCUUAUUAAUGAAUUAUAUUGAAUUUUAGUAAGGAUGUGGAACUUCCUCUCACCGUGCUUGAGUCUUGGAUGGUGAUGUAAACUUUGGAAUUCUUAAUGGUGAUAACUUCUACUUAAUUAUUUGGCUGAGAAAUAUGUUUCAUAUCCUUUUGUGAUACGGUAUAUGCAGCUAUUUUUUUAUUUACGUUUAGGCAGCAACCUGUGUGAUGGCUGCUGUUAGGCCAAAGUUUCCGAUUGACCUGCUGUGUGGGACCAUCACUAAUGCAGUUAUAAUUAACUUUAAUUGAAACAAUGAAAGCUCAGUUAUAUGUAAGCUGGCAGACUAUUUGAUUUAAUGGGCUUAUGAGUUUAUGACUGCACCCUUUUAUGCUGUAGAUAGUGGACAUAUAUAUAUAAUGGAAUACCUGAUUACAAAUUUUUUGUUGAUUCGGUAGUGUUUUCAACAGCAUUGUGGGCAGAGCUAGCUCUUGUGGCAGUUUGUAGUCUCACCCUAAGCUGGCUUAACUAAAUGCAAACAAAAUCUUAUCAUAGUAAAUCAUUAACUAGUUUCUUGUCACACAGGUGUCCUCCCAAUCUAACCUCGUAUCUUUUGGGCUUAGAUAAUUAGCAUGUCUUUUGAUUAAGAUAUGAAGAAAGCACGAUAUGGACCAAUUGCUUAGUUACACGGCGAGCAGUCAUGCCGCUUAGUUAUAAUGCGCUUAUAAAAUGUUUAUCGCUACGGUAAUUUUAAAAUAUUAAUGAGUUAAAGCCAUUGAUACCUUUUAGCAUUUUGUAAUGUCUUUGCUACAGAAGCAAGUCUUUGGCUAGCCAAUCAGACUUCUUUAUUUUGUAUUUAAAGAUCCUCUACUAACCAAACAAAGUCAGGUUACAGUGAUAGCUUGUAAGCAAUGACUGUAUCAGCUAAGGUACAGUGAUGGUUCAGGACCAGUUACUGUGUAUCAGCUAAGGUACAGUGAUGGUUCAGGACCAGUUACUGUGUAUCAGCUAAGGUACAGUGAUGUUUCAGGACCAGUUACUGUGUAUCAGUUGAGGUACAGUGAUGGUUCAGGACCAGUUACUGUGUAUCAGUUGAGGUAUGGUGAUGGUUCAGGACCAGUUACUGUGUAUCAGCUAAGGUACAGUGAUGUUUCAGGACCAGUUACUGUGUAUCAGCUAAGGUACAGUGAUGUUUCAGGACCAGUUACUGUGUAUCAGCUAAGGUACAGUGAUGUUUCAGGACCAGUUACUGUGUAUCAGCUAAGGUACAGUGAUGUUUCAGGACCAGUUACUGUGUAUCAGCUAAGGUACAGUGAUGUUUCAGGACCAGUUACUGUGUAUCAGCUAAGGUACAGUGAUGUUUCAGGACCAGUUACUGUGUAUCAGUUGAGGUACAGUGAUGGUUCAGGACCAGUUACUGUGUAUCAGCAGCAACUAAUGUAUUAGUUAAGUGUGGCUAAUUCAUGAGUUAAAAAUCAGUGUUUAUAUUACAAGUUGCAUACUGUUCUAUGUUACAAUGGUAGCCACGAGUUAGCUAUUGGCUUAUUGGCCGACACUGGUUACCUGUAUCAUGAUGCUUUCGUUCAUGUUGUCGAAAAUUAAUGCAAGCCUACUUUAUGAUAAAGAAUGUAACAGGUGCAUUCAUCUACAAAUUACACUGUGCACUGCUAAUUUGUCCAAGUUUUUCAUAAUACUGUAAUUAUGCAAAUAUAUUUUGCAGAUAAUAAAUUCAUUAAGAAGUUUACUGACAGAAAUAUCCUGGUUUCCUUUUGUGCAGUUCUAAAAUGCCUUGCCCAAAAUUGGGUGUGGGAAUAGCCAUAUGUACAAAUGAUUAGAUUUUAGUGAAAUGGGUAUACUAGUAAAAACAAAUUUGUAUUAAUUUCUGGUGGGGGCUGAAUGGGAUUCUUGUAGCUAGCUGCACUGAAAUAGCUCCGCACAUCUAAGUCGCAUCAGCCCUAGGAGUCCUUAACAUAUUAUUGGUGACCAGAGGCCAAAACUUGCCCCCCCCCCUCCCCCUUUCUCCCUCACAGAGGAGCAGGGAAUGCAAGAUCACUUUUACUGAAGAAACAAACUUCCAGAAUGAAGGGAGGCAAAACAGACAACUGUAAGGUUCACAAAGUAAACAAACAAUACAGCAAACAAUUCCCCAGAGGUUUGGUUAUACCCCUUAAGUACAGCUGGCCACUGUCAGGUGGUAGCACCACAGGAGCUACCAGCUUUCCAUGUCAACAAUCAUCAUCCUUUGCCUGAUAUCAGACAUGUCUGACAUGCUCCUUCAGUUGCCAGCUCUUUGAGACCCAGAGAUUCUAGAUGUGUUGUUCAUUCUUUGGACUCUAUCCUGUGGAGGGCCCAUUUGCUUGUGUAUUGCUUCAAUACCUAGUGGUUGCUUCACGUGCUUGUGUUUACAAGCCUCACUUGUGGUGUGGACUUUGGAAACUGUUCAUCUCAAGAUGCAUGUGCUUAGGGUAGCCCUGCCCUAGGUGUGAUGUUGGCUCUGCCUUGAUGGUUUCUUCCCUGGUGUGUUUGGAUGUUCAUCCCAGAGGUCGGCUUCCUGUGGAGGAUGCUUCACCCCGAGUAGUGCUAGGGACUUUGACUCGUUUUGCAAGUUUCUGAGGUUGAGGGUAUUCUGGGGUUAUUGAUUAAGGGGGUGCACUCAGGAUCAUGUGCUUGUUAAUAUGGCAUGCCUUGCAGCCACAUUUUUUCUGUGUGGUGUGUUUGGUGUCAGUUCAUCCGGCGAGUGUCCCUAGUGCCUGGGUGUCCUCUUUGAAACCUUCAGGCCUCGGCAAGCUCCACUGGUCUUGGGUGUGGAUUGUCAUUAGAUCAGUGACACCUUUGACCCCAAAUCCUACGGGGGUUUGUUCUUUCUACCCCUCUGAUGAGGUUAGGACCUAUCAGGCAGUGAUCGCCUUUCAUGUCACUGGUUGCAGCGAUUUAAUGUUUUGAGCUUUUAUCUGGACUCUGGAUUUUGGGGCUAUAACAGAAUCCUGAUGGUUCAUUAUUCAGUCAGUGCUUGUGAUCUGUCAUAAUUGUGUUGCCCUUAGUUGUUUUUUCCGUGUGUGAUCUCUCCCUUUAGGGUGUUUGAGCCUUUCUCUCCUGCCCAGGUGUGUCCAAUGUUUUCCUUUUCUCUGUGGUUAGCUAUAGAAGGCCACCAUUUAGCCCCUCCAGAAAACCAUUGUUGAAUAUAAUGAAAUGCCUCUUUCUGGAGGGGGGGGGGGAGGCCUCAGUGGCUCUCCGGACCCUUGACCUCCCCACCAUGUCCGUCAGUCAGUUUCCCUCAGCUCCAGACUGAUGAUUGUUGACGUGGAGAGCGGGCAGCUUCAGUGAUGCUGCCACCUGGUGGGGGGCCAGCUGUAAAUUAGGAAAGGGGGUAUGACCUAACUACUGGGGGGGAUUCUUUGCUGCAUUGUUUGUUUAAUUUCUGGGAUCCCUGCAGUUGUCUAUUUUGCUUCACUUCCUUUUUGGGGGUUUGUUUCUUCAGUGAGGGUGAUCAAGAAUCCCUUGCUCCCCGCAUCUCUGUGAAGGUAGGAGGAGCCAGGUUGUGGUCUCUGGCAGGAUGUUAUCUUGAGGUUAUCUUGAGAUGAUUUCGGGGCUUUUAGUGUCCCCGCGGCCCAGUCCUCGACCAGGCCUCCACCCCCAGGAAGGAUGUUAAGGACUCCUAGGACUAAAGUGCUAGUUUUUUAGUGAAACGAGUAUGAUAAUCAUCUUAAUAUGAAAUGACAAAAUUGGAUAUCUAUUCUUAUUAGCUAAUAUACAUAAUUGAUGUCUAUUUUAAAUCAUGUAUGUUAUUCAAAUACAGUUGUUUAAUUAUCUUGUGUAUAGGACUUCUAAACUUUUGUAUGUUUAAUUAUUUGACGGCCUCCCCACUUGUAUCUCUCCUUUUCAGUAUGUUUCCUUAAUUUAUAAUUUAUGAUAUGUCCAUAUUAAUUAAGACUGCGUGGUUUUGAUGAGCAUUAUAAAAAGGUAGAUAACUUUGUAAUGUGCCAAUAAUUUUAGGUUUUUCGUUGUAGCUUUAGCAAAAGCAGCACAUGGUUAGAUGUUGGUGGGUGUUGGUAAUUGUGGCAUGCUAACUUUGCUGUACUAGAGCUCUGGUGUUGAAUUGUUAGUAACUUUGGGUAAUUUGAAUAAGAACAAAUGCAGUGAAUGAGAAGCAACGAGCCAUGCUCAUAGGAAAGCACAAGAAGAGUGAAUAAUGACAAUCCUGUCAAAAAUGCAAGACUUUCUUUUCUGUUUAUCAUGAUGUUAGUGAGCACAGUUACCUAAUGACAUGCACGUCACUACUGGUGAACAGAUACCCAUGACACACAUAGUCAGUGUACUGGUGAGUAUAGUUACCCAUGACACACAUGUCAGUGUACUGGUGAGUACAGUUACCCAUGACACACAUGUCAGUGUACUGGUGAGUACAGUUACCCAUGACACACAUGUCAGUGUACUGGUGAGUAUAGUUACCCAUGACACACAUGUCAGUGUACUGGUGAGUAUAGUUACCCAUGACACACAUGUCAGUGUACUGGUGAGUAUAGUUACCCAUGACACACAUGUCAGUGUACUGGUGAGUAUAGUUACCCAUGACACACAUGUCAGUGUACUGGUGAGUAUAGUUACCCAUGACACACAUCAGUGUACUGGUGAGCACAGUUACCCAUGACAGAUCAGUGUACUGGUGAGCACAGUUACCCAUGACAGAUCAGUGUGCUAGUGAGCACAGUUACCCAUGACAGAUCAGUGUGCUAUUGAACACAGUUACCCAUGACAGAUCAGUGUGCUAGUGAGCACAGUUACCCAUGACAGAUCAGUGUGCUAGUGAGCACAGUUACCCAUGACAGAUCAGUGUGCUAGUGAGCACAGUUACCCAUAACACACAUCAGUGUGCUAGUGAGCACAGUUACCCAUGACAGAUCAGUGUGCAAGUGAGCACAGUUACCCAUGACAUGAAUUUGAAGAGCAAUUUAUACAUGUUAUUUUGUACUUUGAGCUUGUCACAAAAGUAGGCUUUUAACCCAGUCAUCUCUUACAUGAUUGAGAAGACUGUCAGUAUUUUUUUUCUUUUAUUCUGCUUAAGUACAGUAUAUUGUAACAUGGUCUUUCUAAUACACUCUUAGUAGAAGAAAGUGUAUUCUCUCACUCUAUGGAAUUUAUUUCUUAGGGCCAGUCGGCAGCUCAUCUCAUGCUCGUGGAUGAUGAUUAAAAUGUUGGAGCCAUGCCAGAA